rnacentral:rRNA from 1 species
CCUACGGGAGGCAGCAGUGGGGAAUAUUGGACAAUGGGGGGAACCCUGAUACAGCGACGCCGCGUGAGUGAAGAAGUAUUUCGGUAUGUAAAGCUCUAUCAGCAGGGAAGAAAGAAAUGACGGUACCUGACUAAUAAGCCCCGGCUAACUACGUGCCAGCAGCCGCGGUAAUACGUAGGGGGCAAGCGUUAUCCGGAUUUACUGGGUGUAAAGGGAGCGUAGACGGCGAUGCAAGUCAGAUGUGAAAUCCACGGGCUCAACCCGUGAACUGCAUUUGAAACUGUUUCCCUUGAGUGUCUGAGAGGUAAUCGGAAUGCCUUGUGUAGCGGUGAAAUGCGUAGAUAUAAGGCAGAACACCAGUGGCGAAGGCGGAUUACUGGACGAUAACUGACGGUGAGGCGCGAAAGCGUGGGGAGCAAACAGGAUUAGAUACCCGAGUAGUC